CACGCCUGGUGGGUGUUGGAAGAGCUACACAAGGCAGAACAUCCUUCUCAGCUCAGCAGAAGGAAUGGCAUCUGCUCUGAAUGGUUACUUGAAGAUGAUCUCCAUAUUUUUCUUCCUCUUCGGUUUUGCCUUUAGCCAGGUUUUCCAACCCGACCAGCUCCUCUAUGUAGAAGGAGACAAGAUUGAGAUCAUCUGCAAUCAAAAUGCAACUAGCCAUGACGCUAUGUUCUGGUACAAGCAGACAUCCCAGUGGGAUGGUGGCCAACUCUCUUACUUGGGAAGCGGUUUUGAAGAGGACUCUCUUCCAGCUGGAGAUUUCCUAAUAGAUGUCGUCAAAAAAUCUCGCCUCACCAAGCUGACCAGAGAGGGAGCAAGGCUGAGUGAUGCUGGUGUCUAUUUCUGCGCUGUGAGGGACACAGUGAAAGGAAACCAGGUGUUGUCAACACAAAAGCCACUGUUAAGUUGGGCUCAGAGGCGUGAAUGGUGGAUAUACACCUGUUGUUCUUAUGAUCAAUGGUGCUUGUCAUUAUUUUUCUCCUCCUUUUCCAUGUGGCAAUACAGUCAUCUCUCCACAUCUGCUGGAGUUAGGACCUCCAGAAGGUGAACCAUCCACAUACAUACACUGUGAACACCUUUCUAGGUAUCCUUAGAUCCUUCAGUAGGACACUGUGGUCAACUCCCUAUAUAAUAGCUUUGGAGGACAUAUACAUUCCUGGAGAAAUGCUGUCACUAGGAAUCUUUUGGUUUUCCAACACAACCCUAUAGUUAACAUCCACUGGAAAUUUCACUUUCCAGCUGAUUUCCCCAUCCCCAUGAUGCACCAUCCAUCAUACCUAACUGAUUGGUGUCCUGCUUUGGUCUGGGAGAAAUGAAGCAUAUACCUUAAAUAAAUAAAUAAAUAAAUAUACACCCAACUUUUCCCCUAGCAGUUAAAAUGACGUUUCACUCCAACUUGUGUUUUUCUGAUCAAAACACACAUUUUUGUGCUGUGUGUUUUGAUUUGUGCAACUACAUAUAGGCUCAAUUUGCCAUUCGGAUUGCAGAGAGAUUGCUGAAUAGUCUUAACUAUAUAUUCAGAAUUUCCAGAGCUUUACCUGCUCUCUUGCGGGAAGAGAUCCAUGGUGUGUGUGACACCAUGAAUUACUGCACUAUUGAUUACAGGAUCAGUUACCAUGAACCAGGGGGUCUUGGUAAUUGUUUAGAAUUGGGUCUCCUUUCAGUGGGAUAAAGUGGGAUAGAAAUAAAUAUCAUCAUCAUCACUGUCAUCAUCAUCAUCAAAAUUCAAAGGAGGGGCUUGAUAACCCAUCCUGAAGGACAACUUUAGUCAAACCUUUCCAUGCCCUACCAUGCUAUGGUCUACACCAGGUCUGGAAAUGAUAAAAUUGGACCUUAUCACAUAGUAAAACACCCUGUCUUUGAUGCCCUUUGCAUACUGGCUCCUGUGGGUCCUAUUAUAUGACGAAUGGUCCAUUUUGUGAAUAACCCGUAGGAACCCAUAGACCAGUGGUUCACAACCAUUUUUGACUAUAGACCACUCUGACCAGGGACCACUCUCCAACAUUAGUACCAAAAGGGUUACAAAUCAGUUUUUGAUCAACUUUAGAUUUUGUUUGGUUAUUUGGGGUGCUGAUUCAGAAAAUUGCAUUGGAUAGACCACAUCAGCUCUAGUUUCUGAUACAGAAUGUAUAUCAUCCAAUAGUCACCAUCUGCUCGUCCACAGAAAACUAUAUUUAAUAUUCUAGAUGUGGUCUAUCCAAUACAAUUUUCUUAAUCAACAUCCCAAAUAACCCCAGGAACAGGCCUAAAAACAAAGAUAUCAAGAAAAAAAUAUUUUUUUGGUUGGGCUGUGUUAUUAUCUGUAGUAGUAACAGUGAGGCCGCAGACCAUAUUUUAGUUCUUGUGGACCACUGGUGGUCCACAGACCACAGGUUGGGAACUACUGCCAUAGACAAAGGAUCUGCAGACAGUACCUUUUGUAAGACGGGUGGGAAUUGACUCCACUCGUCUUUAAUUUCUCCAUGUGCGUUAGCGGUGUGGCUUUUGUCAUGUGAUGAUACAUUCAUCUGUAAGUCAUCUUGUGAUGUGUCUUUUGGGGUAUGUUUUGGGGGUGGUCUUUUUAACCCGCUCAAUUCCU